CUGAGCAGGGAGCCUGACAUGGGACUCGAUCCCAGGACCCUGGAUCAUGACCUGAGCCGAAGGCAGAUGCUGUACCGACCGAACCCUCCAGGCACCCUUUCUGCUCUGUCUUGAGUGACAGUGAUGGACACCAGAACCUUCCGUGUUGGUAGGAAGCUCUCAGAUUCGCUGCAUGCCCAGUGGCCGCUCUGUGCUGGUGCCUCCUGAGCGCCCGGAGUGUGUUAGCCGUUUGCCUGCCCCUCACAUGGAGACCUUACCACAACGGGGUGAGGCCCACGGAGCUCUCCGGAGCAGCUCUGCGGAGAGGCCAAGACAUGGCCCCGAGACUGUCCCCAAACCUUGGUGCGGAGGCUCGGAGUACCUGCCCCUUUGCAAGAGGCCUUGACGUUCUUGGCCGCAGGGAGGGGCUUUCUAUGCCAGAGAGACCCCCUGAUGCCGAGAGCUGCUCCAGCGGAACCCAUCCCUGCAAGCAGAUGCUUCCAUAAGGGAGAAAAAAGAAAG